GUCUAAUCGGGGGACAAAAAACGAGACAACUUAAUCACGAUGCCAGCUCAACGGGACCGUCCACAGAUGACCUGCUACCCGAGAUGUGCGAUCCAUCCUAGAGCGCGUCCCGAAACCUUAGCCUCCGGUUGCUCGGAACCAACCGUGCAUCCGUCCAUCCGUUAUUGUCGAACGCCCGUAACUAUGAUUUGCCACUAAUUUUCCAAACCUUCUUCCAUAUGCGGCGAAUAAAUCUCUCCCCUCCCCCCCGUCGGGGCGAUGGAGUUAGUGAAAA